UACGUAGGGUGCAAGCGUUAAUCGGAAUUACUGGGCGUAAAGCGUGCGCAGGCGGUUAUGUAAGACAGAUGUGAAAUGCCCGGGCUUAACCUGGGAACUGCAUUUGUGACUGCAUGGCUAGAAUCUGGCAGAGGGGGGUAGAAUUCCACGUGUAGCAGUGAAAUGCGUAGAUAUGUGGAGGAACACCGAUGGCGGAAGGCAGCCCCCUGGGUCAAGAUUGACGCUCAU
rnacentral:rRNA from 1 species